CCUACGGGUGGCUGCAGUGGGGAAUAUUGGGCAAUGGGCGCAAGCCUGACCCAGCAACGCCGCGUGAAGGAAGAUGGCCCUCGGGUUGUAAACUUCUUUUGUCAGGGACGAAGCAAGUGAAGGUACCUGACGAAUAAGCCACGGCUAAACUCGUGCCAGCCGCCGCGGGAAUACGGAGGUGGAAACGGUUAUCCGGAUUUACUGGUUGUAGGGGGCGUUUAGGCGGGAGAGCAAGUAAGAUGUGAAAUCCCAGGGCCCAAGCCUGGAACUGCAUUUGAAACUGUUUUGCUUGAGUGAGGGGGCGGCAGGAGGAAUUCCGGGUGUAGCGGUGAAAUGCGUAGAUAUA
rnacentral:rRNA from 1 species